UAUCUCUGUAGAGUCUGCAUAUCAAUAAGCGGAGGAAAAGAAACUAACAAGGAUUCCCUUAGUAACGGCGAGUGAAGCGGGAAGAGCUCAAAUUUGAAAUCUUCAAGGUUCUACCUUGACGAAUUGUAGUUUAAAGAAGUGUUUUCUGUUAGAUGAGUAGCAAAAGUUCCUUGGAAUGGGACAUCAUAGAGGGUGAGAAUCCCGUAUUUGGUUAUUCAUUCUAGCUUUGUGAUACACUUUCAAAGAGUCGGAUUGUUUGGGAAUGCAGUCCAAAAUGGGUGGUAAAUUUCAUCUAAAGCUAAAUAUUGGCGAGAGACCGAUAGCGAACAAGUACCGUGAGGGAAAGAUGAAAAGAACUUUGAAAAGAGAGUUAAACAGUACGUGAAAUUGUCAAAAGGGAAGCGUUUGACACCAGUGUUGUUUUUCCGAAAAUCAAUUACGAAUGGCUUGAUUCUGUGUUGUAUUGACCUUAUCAGCUUUCUUCACUUUUUUCGAGUCUUUCUUAAUGCACUUUUCGGUUAACAAGUCAACAUCAAUUUCUUUUGUUGUAAAAGAGUAUUCGGAAGGUGGCUUUCUUUUCGGAGAAAGUGUUUAUAGCCCUAUACUUCUACAAUCGGAGAGAUUGAGGUCUGCAGCGUAGAUCCUUCGGGGUUAGAUACACUUGUGCUAAGUUGUAGCUUUUCAUAGACAACUUGUUGACUAUGUUUAGUCAUGCGGCUUACUCGCUUGUGCUAUUUUACCUACGCUUAGGAUGUUGACGAGACUGUCGAUCUC
rnacentral:rRNA from 1 species